rnacentral:lncRNA from 1 species
AGGUGAAUGGAUUUGUUUGCAAGGAUCCCAUGGCUGUGAACGCUGACGACUUCUUCAAGGCUGCAAAACUUGACCAGCCAAGGGACACCACCAAGAGCAAGGUGGGAUCCAACGUUACUUUGAUCAAUGUCUUGCAGCUGCCUGGACUCAAUACGUUGGGCAUCUCGUUGGCUCGCAUUGACUAUGCGCCCUUAGGACAGAAUCCUCCACACACACACCCACGUGCCACGGAGAUCCUCACCGUGCUUGAGGGGACACUCUACGUCGGAUUUGUCACCUCCAACCAAGCUGACAGAAGUAACAAGCUAUUUGCCAAGGUUCUCAACAAGGGCGAUGUGUUUGUAUUCCCCCAAGGACUAAUCCACUUCCAGUUCAACCCGAUCCAUGACAAGCCAGCAGUCGCGCUCGCUGCUCUAAGUAGCGAGAACCCUGGAGCUAUUACUAUUGCCAAUGCAGUCUUUGGAUCAAAGCCAUCUAUCUCGGAUGAUGUCCUAGCUAAGGCAUUUCAGGUGCAAAAGGGUACAAUUGAUUGGCUUCAAGCUCAAUUUUGGGAGAACAACCACUAUUGAAAAAUAAAUCAAGUUAUGGUUCAUUGUAUGGGGAUAUAAUGAUUUAUUUAUAUUUUACAUACUACUCUAUGUAUUUAUUUUUCUAGACUUUCAGCUGAUAAUAAAAUAAAUGGAUUGUAUUUAUGAACUAUAAUUGUAAUGUGUCCCAAUUGUGGUUCUACCACCAUGUCCUUAAUCGAAAGUGCAUGUAAUGUAUAUGGCACUCUCUCGUUUCCCAUUUUAUUGAGAUGGUUCAUAUAUUAAGCCAUCUCUAGAACGAUUGACAUAAUUACACCACUCCUAAAAUUCCACUAUUAUCAGGAAUGAUUAUCAUAAAAGAACUGUCCUUAAAGAUCACAUUUCAUGGGUGGAUUCUUAUGCCAACCGUUCCUGAAAAAUAGAAGAUUUCUACUCAAAAGGUGCUAGCUAGCAUGUUUGAGGACCAAAAAAAUUCAUAGAUUUUCAAAUAUAGUCAUUAAGUGACAAGCUUUAUAUCAAAUUUGUAAAGCCCAACAAUAUCUAAAACUUUAUAGGUAACAACUUUUUAUUUAAGACCAUUUAUAUACCUAAAUAUAUGUUUUGUCUUCGAAGAGUUGAAAAUUCAGAAUUUCAAAUUUCAUUUCUAGUGGCAGUGGGCUUUCAUUUUCCACCGUCAACACUUCUAUAAAAAAACUCUUAUAUAAUUAUAUAGUGGUUUGAUAUUUUUAUACAUGGCAUACCAGUAAUAUAAAUUCAACAUUAUGCUUAAUUGGUCUCUGUAAUACCCACUUUGUAAGAAAAACCUAAAAAGAGAAAUUUCAUUCCUUCAUAUAUGUGUGUCAUCUUUAUUUAUCAUUUCAUGUGGACACGCCACUUAACCAGAAUAAAUGGUUAACAAAAGACACUCAAAUAACUUGUGCAUCCUUUGGAGUUUUGUUUGCUUGUGCAUUAAAAUAAUUACAAUAAUAAUGCUAGUAGAAAUAAAACAAUGACUUGAGAUGAAGUUUGAAUCCUAAAUUGAGAAUUAGGGUUUGAAAUAGAGAAGGAAAGAGAAAAAUACUAUACAAUACAAAAAUAAAUUUAUAAAUAGAUAAAUUUAUUCCACAAUAAUUAUUCAAAUCAUAUACUCAGAAAUUUGAGUACAAGUUCACCACAAAUUUGAAAUUCAAAUUUAGAUUCAAAAAUAAGAAUGAAAAGAAAAUGAAUCAAAAAAGGAAAAUAAAAAGAAAAGAAUAAAGACACCUAACUGGGCCGCUAGGCGGUAUUUCGGCCCGUUCACUGUUACUUCGCGCGGCUCGUCACUUCGUGGAGGCGUGCUAACACGUGAGGCCAUCUGGCCAGCCACACACCGCGCGAUACAGCAGCGUUGGCUCGCGCCGACACAUGGGACCAUCUGGGCAGCCACCCACGCACGAACCCGCGGACGCCACGGUCACCUGCCCCACCUGUCAGAGAACACGAUGGAUCUUCUUCGUUCCGCCAUUGUCGCGCUGACCAGCGACAAUCGCGCCACUCCGCCGUUUUCUGGGGGGUUGUUGGACUGGAGCACCCGAGCUAUAAGGACCGGCUCCGGAUGCGGUUCCCCACCUUUGCCUACUCGUCGCGCCCCAACCAUUGAGCUCAGUGAGGGAGAGAGAGAAUCACUUCGCCGCCGUCCUUGGGCCGCCACCGGGAAUCCUCGCACCGCGAACACACCAUCUGCGAAAUUCGGGCCCGAGGCUUCAUGUUUUUGCGAGGAAUACAUGUGUGGUGUUGCGGUGACUGGGGUACCGUCGGUGCGCUUAGAAUCACUCGCCGGUGUUCUUCCCCCGCGUCACGUGGACAACUGCCUCCACACCAUCAAUCGUCGUCGGGUAACUACUCUACUUGCCAAACUUUGUCUUCGCUACGUGUAUUCCGGUUUAGAUCGAAGCUUUAGGCGCGGGAUCAGGUAAUGGGGGAUUCCGGCGAUGGCGCUCCGCCGUGGUGGCCCUGGUCUUCCCUCCGGCCGUCGUCUAGGUGUAGGAGACGUUUUAGCCACUGUAACCUGUUAGAUGUGCGGCUCAGAUUGGAAAUCAGUUACCGAUUCGGACACGUUCGCCUGAGACCGUCGAUUAGAGAUCCGAGGGUAGGGAUCGGAUAUGGGCAUUGUAAAACCCUAGCUGUUGAUCUGUCAACAUACGCCCAGGAUCAGAGGGGGAAAUACAUCGUUUCAUUUAAUUAAAUCAGCGCCGUUGAUUCCCAAUCCAACGCAUAGCAUUGCAUACGGAUUCAGGUGUGGGCUUGAUCUAAUCGGAACCCUCGGUUGUCGAUCGGACGGCUCUGACGAAGGAUACCCCUUCGGCCCUGUAAAACUGCAAAAGAGACCCUAUGCUAUUUUAGAUUCAACCCGUCGUCCAUUUGUGGGGUGCUCUGUGUCUUAGAGAUUUUUACCCCGAGACCCCUGAGUUCCUCUGGUUUUGUGCGCCUAGCCCAUGAGAGUAAGAAAUCCAGGAAAUUAAAUAGAAAAUAGAUUUUUAAUAUAUAAAUAAGUGCUAGAACUUGUAAAAUUCAUAGAAAAUUCAUUUUUAGUCCAAAUUACUCCAUUCCAGUUUCUAAAAUUUUGUAAUAUUAUUUUCUAUCACUUAGAGUCUCUGUUUUGACAUGAAAACAGUAAGAAAAUUUAUUUUAGAGAUGGCAAUGGGUACCCGAAACCCGAAUACCCGACGGGUUUUAUCCGAUAUGAAGGCGGGUACGGGAUAAUUUCUCUACCCGCGGGUAUGUUAAUGGGUAAAAACCUCUACCCGUUGGGUAGACGGGUACGGGUAUGGGUUGGUACUACCCAUACCCGUCUACCCGUGGGUAAAAUAUACCCGCAUCAAUAGCACUAUAAACAUCUAAUAGAGUCCAACUUAGCUAGAAUAAAACUCUUCUCUAGUUAUCAUUUGUCUAGAUACCAAGUUAUGUAAUCAUAUGAUUUGUUAUAUGUAAAAUUGAAGUUGUUUUUAUAUGUUUAUUUAAUAUUUUGAGUGAUUGGUAUAUUGGAAUUUAAUUCUUUCCUAGCGGGUACGGGUUACCCGACAGGUAAAAAUACCCGCGCGGGUACGGGUAUGGGUAAGAUUUUAUACCCGCGAGUAUAUAUGGGUAACCCGACGGGCAGAAUUUUUUUUGAUGGGUACGGGUAUGGAAUGAUACUACCCGACGGGUAUGUACCCGUUGCCAUCCCUAAUUUAUUUCUCAUUUAAUCCUAUUUUAAGCAUAUAAAACCUUUGGAAAUUCAUAACUUAAAAUCUAUAACUCCAAAAUUUAUGAUUCCUAUUCCUAGGAUUUUAUUUUAAUGUGUAGAUUAUUAUUAUGUAUUUUUUUACAAGUUUGGUGUGAUGUUAAUUUUCUCUAUAUACUGUGCUUGUUUGUAUUGUGGCGAGUAGAAGAGCCUGUGACUGAGGAUCCUGGUGCCCAGCAGAUAGAAGUUGCUGAGCAGGAGCUCAUUGAAGACAAGUUGUGCCCUUGACCACUUUUUACCCAAUAAUGUUCUUUAAUAUCACUUAUUCAUGCAUAGGUUUGACCCAAUAGGUCACCCUAGUAUGUUUAUCCAUUUUACCUUGUUUACCCCUGAAUCAUUUGGGUAGUUAUGCUAUUGCCUCACAUGGUUUUGGGUUAAUAUUUCAUUAUAUACAUGUUCCAAUUAUUUUGUUAUUCUAUUUAUGUUCAUGUCAAGAUCAUUAAUAUUAAUUGGAACAUGGAGCUUAACUUGAGAAACACGUGCCACCACAAGGGUGGAAUGGGACACCCUUGGCUGACUAAUUAGGAAAGCUAGUGGAAGACUACCUUACCCGAAAGGGGCAAGGGCAGUAGGAGAGUUGCAUGCAAGGAGGUUCUUGGGUUGAUUUUUCUGCGAUGGCGGUCAGACGAGGAUUCUUGCAGAUGCCCUUCCCAUAAACUGUAGCGGGUUUUCGGAAGCUAGUGGAACUUUGUAAAGGCCUCGUAGUGUUUCCCUGCCUCGCUUCCUUGGUAGAGGUGUAUGGGAGUCGCGAUCCCUUGGUAGAUGGGUAACAUGACUUGUGGGUACAGGGUACAACCUCUGCAGAGUGUAAAACUGGUAUACUAGCCGAGCUCACGGUCAUGAGCAGCUCAGGACUUAAAUUCAAUUUGUCAUUUGCAUUGCAUGAGAUUAUUUAUUAAUUUUGUUCUAUUACUUUUAUUAUGGUUUGGUAUUUACUUACAUCUAGUAACUGCUAAUAAAAAUUUGACCAACUAAUUAAAAGCAAUGCUCAGCUUUAACCCUAUUGUUGAUCAGCCUUACACAUCACAUGAACUCCCACCUUUGGUGAGUUCAUGCCCACUGGUUUCCCCACAACUUGUUGAGCUAUGAUCAUGUGUGAGCUCACCCUUGCUGUCUCAAACCCCCCACAGGAGAAGAACAGGUGGUUCAAGAGGAGUCACACUGAGUAGUUUGAUCUGAUCUAGGUGGCGUUUCCCAGUUGACUUUUGGCGCCAAGGAUGAUCCUUAGUUCGUUUUAUAUUUAUCUUUUAUUUUGUAAUAAGACUUCCACUAUGUAAUAAAUAGUCUGAUGUUAUUGUGACAUUUAUCUCUAUACACUCUGUUAUUAUAUAUGUUGUCUUCUUAGCGCAUGUAUGAGAUACACCCGACUUUGUUCCUUAAAGCCCGGGUGUUACAGAAGUGGUGUCAGAAGAAAUGUUGACUGUAGGACGAAACCUAGUUAGUAAUGGACAAAACCUUUACCUCCUUACCUUACUCUGAUUCAUUCUAUACUUAUCUUAUCUUGAUCCUGUCUCACCUUUUGUUGUCAUACUCUGAUUACUCUUAUCUUUUCUACUCUAAGAUAAGGUGGAUUUCACACCUUGGGAUCCUACAAUUUAUGAACUUUUUAAGAGAUAGGGAACCUAAGACGAAAUUAAAACUAUUUUCUCUAUUUAAAAAUGUUGGUUGAUUGUUCUGAUGAUAAAUGCCUUAUUUGCUUUUUGAUUGAUUGAAAUAUUAUAAAUGGACAUCUUAGCAUGUACCACCGUAAGGUAAUGAAUUAGCUUUGGUAGGUAAAACAUUAAUCUGCUUAGCUAAUAAAUCCCCUAAAGUAACAUGCCUCGUAAUCACCUGCCUUGUCUACAAUCCUUUCUCUCUUACCAUAUGUUUCUAACUCAGAUGGUCAAUACCAGGAAGGGUGGUGGAAUUGAUCUACCUCCCAAUCAACACACUCGGAGGAUAUUUAGACAACCACAGCAACAACAACUUGAGAUGGAUCCUCCACCACCUCCACCAGCAGGAGUUGACCCAACUGUUGCAACACAGAUGAGGAUAAUGCAACAAAUGGCUGACACUAUGGCGGAUAUGCACGCGCAGAUGCGGCAGGAGCACCAGGAGAUGCGCCAAGAGCGAGAAUAUAUACGACAGGAGAUGCGCCAAGAGCGAGAGGAGAUACGCCAGGAGAGAAGGACGCAGCAGCAACAACAAUAGCAACAGCAACAUCAACAAGCACUACUGCCUCCACCUCCACCACCAGUUCCACCCCGGGACAAGCACCGGGAGUUCAUGAGUCAUAAGCCACCGACAUUCGCUAGUUCUCCUGAUCCACUGGACGCUAAUGAUUGGAUGAAGUCUAUGGAAAAGAUGUUGAUUAUCGCACAAUGCUCUGACCGAGAUAAGGUUCUAUAUGCUUCUGGACGUCUCACAGGUCCCGCUGCUGAUUGGUGGGAUUCAUACACUGCUGCCCACGAUGCUGCUGAUACUAUAUCACAUGGGCGGAGUUCGCUACGCAGUUUAGGAACUAUCAUAUACCAGCUGGACUGAUGAAGAUUAAGAAGAAAGAAUUUCUAUCGCUGAAGCAGGGGAACAUGUCAGUCAGCGAGUACCGCGAUAAGUUCAUCUAGCUACCUAGAUAUGCACCUGAUGAAGUUGCUGAAGAUGAGAGGAAGCAGGAGCAUUUUAUUGAAGGACUCAAUGGACCUCUGCAGUAUGCUCUAGUGGCACAUACAUUUCCAUCAUUUCAGAGGCUGCUUGACAAGGCCCUAGCUAUUGAACACAAGCGUGUUCAUCUAGGAGAUUUGAAGAGGAAGGCUAUAUCCCAAGGACAAGGAAGCAGCAGUGUUCGACCUCGCUACAGUUCACCCCAGGGUACACUAGUUCGCACUGGCGGAGGCCAGCGCCCAGCUCAGCACUCACCUCAGGGGACUCCACUGACUCGUCAGGCUACCCCCACUGGCACCCCGACGAAAUUUUCAGGACAGAGUGCAGGCACUACUUGCUACAAGUGUGGAAAGACUGGACAUUAUGCAAAUGUUUGCCCACAAAGGAUUGCUACUACCCCAGUUCAGAAUAAGCAACAGACUCCAGGAUCUGGCAAGGGAUUCUCUAUUGCCAGGGUUAAUCAAGUCAGCGUUGACGCUACUCCUGAUGGAGCUGACAUUGCACUUGGUAUAUUUUACAUUAAUGCAAUUCCUGCAACAAUAUUAUUUGAUUCUGGUGCUACACAUUCAUUCAUGUCUGCUCGAUAUGCCAAUACAAAUGAGUUACCACUGAAAAAUAUGAAAACACCAAUGAUAGUAAUUAUAACGCCCCGAAUUUUAGAGUUGAAUUUUUUCUUUCUCCAGCACUCAUCAAAUUUGGGCGUUACCUUUCCUAUUUUUCUUUUCACCUCGCCAUGCCUCGUUCUUUUUCAAAAUUCUAAAGAGAGUUAACUCUAUGUCGUGUAUUAAUAAAACCUAGAAGUGGAUUUUUCUUGGGUUGUUGCAUCAUGCUGGGCCACACAUCUAUCCUUUUGUGUGUAUUUGCUUGGUUUCCGUGAAGUAUUCAUUUAUUAAGAGUUUAGAAUUAAAUAGAAAAUAGGAAAAACCACCAAAAAACCCUCCCUCCAUUCCCUGCCGGCCUUUUGGCCCGUGGUGCGGCCCUGGCCUCUUUGGGCCUGCGGCGUGGCCCACCUGGCGCACCCCCCGCUUCCCCGUGGCCUGCUUUCCCCCUCUCUCCCCUUCGUGUCUUGGGCUGGCGUCCCGUGGCCCAGCAGCUCUUCCCCCCCCCCCGCACGGCUCGCUGCCUCUUCCCUUGGCGCGGCCCAGCCCCCCACGCCCGGCCCCUUCCCCCCUACUUUCAGCCUGCUGCGCGGCGCGCUCGCCCGGUCGGUGCGGGCAUGGCGGUUGCCCAGCUGCCGCCGCCACCACCCAGUGGGGCCCACCUGUAAGUCUUAGAGAAAUCGCCCCCUGUUCAUCUCUCUCUCGCCCACGACGCGCGUUUCUCCCUCCCCUCACGCAGUUCGCUCGCCCGAUGCCCUCUUUCUCUCCUCCCAUCGCCCAGCCAUGCCCGUCCGCGCCGCCAUGCCCGUCCGCGCUGCCAUGCCCGUCCGCGCCGUCGUCGCCAUGCCCGUCCGCCGCCAUGCCCGUCGUCGCCGCCAUGCCCGUCCGCCGCCAUGCCCGUCGUCGCAUCGCCCCAUCUCCCCUUCCUCGUCCCCUCCGCCCCAUCUCCCUCCUCCCUGUGCCCGCGGCGCGGCCUGGAGCUCGGCCCGCGCGCGCAGUGCCCCAGCCUCGGCGCGAUGCGCGGCACGGCCAUGGCAUCCCGCCCGGAGCGGCACGGUCGGCCCCGCUACCUGCGCGGUCCGGCUCGGCCCCCGGCGCGGCCCCGCUACCUGCGCAUGGCGCGGUCAGCCCCUGGCGUGGCCCCUGCUGCCUGCGCGCGGCGUGCCCGGUGCGACCCCUCUCCUGCUCGUGGCGCGCAGCGCGGCGUACGCGUGGCUCGGCCCCGACGCGGUUUGUUCGCGGCGUGCGCAGCGCGGCCUGCUCGCGCUCAGCCCCCGGCGCGGCCCCGUCCCGCGCACGGCGUCUUGGCGCAGUUCGUCGUGCUCCUGGCGCGACGCGUAGCGCUCCGCCACACAUGUGACGUGCCCGUCUACCCCUAGACGAGCCUGUCUACCCCUAGACCACCCCGUCUACCCCCAUGUAUUUUAUGCGCGUUGAGCGUGUCGUUUAUUUUAUGUAGUUGAACUCCACUUAGAAUUGACCAUGUUAAUUAUCUCACGUAGUUAAAUGACGACUUAAGUAAUGUCGGCCAAUUGGAACAAUUGUAACUCUGUUAGUGUAUGUGAUUAAUAUCUGUUAGUAUGGCUAGAUAGAGUUAGACGAUGUAAUAAUUAAUUGCACACCUACACGUAAUACGUCUCGACUAUAGCUUUAACCACUGCGAGUCCCUUCUUUUUCUCUUUCUAGUAAUUGUGAAUGCAAAUCGUAUGUCAUAUACAUGUUCAAUUGAUCUGCUCUCUUGUAUGGUGUACUGUUUAUUUCCUAAUUCAAAGAGAUGGAUGUAUGUUUGCACUCGCAUAGAUAACGAUCUGGUUGAGGAGUCCGAAGAACUCGCAGGAGAAGACCCUGAGCAGCAGCUGGUUGGUGGAGGCAAGUGUCCCUUGACCCACUUAUGUUUUAUACAUUCCUUAAUUCACUUUCCGCAUUUACACAGUUUAUACCUAAGGAUUGACUAGCUUUUGUUAUUCAUGUCCUUGCUUACCUAUUUGGGUUGGAUUAUUCUGGUUUAGCUUCAUGCUAGUGCUUCACAUUAAUCAAUGAACAUGAUGAGAUUUAUCAAUGAUAUGUUAUUUCCCUUUUUUAUUAUGAUGAUAUACUUGUGGCAUUUAAGGGGACUCGAGCGGUUUCUCGAGUGCCUCUCCGUAAGGACCUGUUCGUUGGAUAACCGCCUGGGAAAACAGUGCAACCAUGAGGGUGGAAUGGGACGCCCUUAGCUGAAUAAUUAGAGGAACCGGGGUGUAGUUCGCUUCGCCGUCGUGCGUUAAUGGGGCUCGGUGUAUGCGGCUUGCUCUGCCAAGGUUGGUUCGCCCCUUGCGGAGGAGUGCGGUGUAUUUAGGAAACCUAACGGGCGGCUACAGCCUCGGGGAAUCUUUGUAAAGGCUUCGUAGUGAUGCCCUGCUUGGCCACCUAGGUAGUGGUCAAUGGGGAGUAGCUCUCUCCGGGUAGAAAGGGAAUCACGACUUGUGGGUAAAGUGCGCAACCUCUGCAGAGUGUUAUGAAACUGAUAUAUCAGCUGUGCUCGUGGUUAUGAGUGGCCAAGGGAGCUCCAUUGAUUAGAGAUACUUGAUCAGAGAUGUUUGGAUUACAGGUGGUGAUGAGAAUGAUGGUUUUGGUAUUGACUAUGGUAAUGGUAAGUGGUAUUCUUUCCAUUUGGAAAGGGUACAUUUGGGUUAAUAACUUGGGUUAAUGCUAAAACCUGGCUCUCUACUAGUAAUAAUAAUCUGACCAACUAAAAGCAAUUGCUUGACUUACCCCCACAUAAAGCUAGUCCACUAUAGCCAAACAGGACAUUUGCUGAGUAUGUUGAUGUGUACUCACCCUUGCUCUACACACCACCCCCCCCCCCCGUCCCCAGGUUGUCCAUGUUGCAACCACUGCUCAGGAGAAGAUGAAGCCGUGGAGGAAGACUUCCAGGAGUUCCAAGAUUACGAUGAGUUUUAGGCGUGGGUUAGCCGCAACCCCCAGUCGGUUGCUUGUGAAGGCCGCGUGUAUCUACGUUUCGUUUUCGCACUUUGAUUAUUGUUAAAGACUAUGUGGAUGUCUCAGACAUUAUGAUGUAAUUGACUAUUAUUACACUUUUUAUGUUUUUAUUUGAGCACUGUGUGAUGAUAUCCAGUUAUGUAACUGUUGUGUACGUGAAUUGCUGAUCUUGGCACGUAUAUGGUUCGCGUUCGGUUUGCCUUCUAAAACCGGGUGUGACAGUAAUUACACCUAAAGGGCCUGUUGAGGCAAGUUAUAUGACACAUAGAUUGACAUUAACAAUUAUGGGAAGAGAAUUCUGGGCUACUGUUAUAAUAUUAGAGGCAAGCAAUAUAGAUCUGAUCCUUGGUAUGUCAUGGUUAAGAAAGGCAAAGGCCAUUAUACAAUGUGGUAGGGGUACUGUAGAACUCACCAGCCCUAAAGGAGAAGGUUUCAAGUUGAAAUUGCAGUAACAACCUCUUCCAGACGUGCGAUGUUCUUUAUAGCUGACGAGUUUGUUGGUAACAACAUCCAUGUGGUUAGGGAUUUUCCGGAUGUCUUUCUAGAGGAGUUACCAGGGAUGCCACCAGAUAGGGAAGUUGAGUUUGUAAUUGAUCUCUUACCUGGAACUGCCCCUAUUUCUAAAUGGCCAUACAUGAUGUCUAUUGAAGAGUUAAAGGAACUUAAGAAACAAUUAACAGAGUUACAAGAGGCUGGGUACAUUCGUUCGAGUUCCUCACCUUGGGGAGCGCCGGUUCUAUUUGUACAGAAGAAGGAUGGAUCACAAAGGAUGUGUGUGGAUUAUAGAUACCUAAAUGAUGUUACUGUGAAGAACAAAUAUCCGCUGCCCCGCAUUGAGGAUUUAUUUGAUCAGAUGAGAGGUGCAAGGGUAUUCUCGAAGAUUGAUCUCCGAUCGGGUUACCAUCAAAUGAGGAUUAGGCCAUCGGAUAUUCCCAAGACAACUUUCUCGACCCGAUAUGGUUUAUAUGAGUUCACGGUUAUGUCAUUUGGACUAACUAAUGCACCAGCUUAUUUUAUGAAUUUGAUGAAUAAGGUGUUUACAGAGUAUUUGGACAGAUUCGUUGUAGUAUUCAUCGACGAUAUUCUUAUUUAUUCAAAGAGUGAGAGUGAUCAUGAGGAACAUCUGAGAUUGGUGCUACAGAAACUACGGGAUAAUCAACUCUACGCCAAGUAUAGCAAAUGCGAGUUUUGGAUUGGCGAGGUGCCAUUCCUUGGACAUAUCAUUUCUAAUGGAGGGAUAUCAGCGGAUCCUGCUAAAGUCAAGGAAAUAAUGGCAUGGAGCGUACCCACUAUAGUUACGGAGAUUCAGAGUUUCUUGGGGCUUGCAGGAUACUAUCGGAGAUUUAUUGAAGGAUUUUCUAAGAUUGCUAAGCCUAUGACCUCGCUUCUGGAGAAGGGAAGAGAGUUCAAGUGGGACGAGAAGUGCCAAGAUAGCUUUGAUCAAUUGAAGAAGAGGUUGAUGUCGCCACCAGUGUUGGUUAUGCUAGAUCUACAGAAGGGAUUUGACAUUUAUUGUGAUGCCUGUGGCCAAGGAUUGGGAUGUGUGCUUAUGCAAGAAGGACACGUGACUGCCUACGCGUCUCGUUAGUUGCGGAAACAUGAGUUGAACUACCCCACUCAUGACUUAGAACUGGUAGCCGUAGUGCACGCACUUAAGAUAUGUAGACAUUAUAUCAUGGGAACCAAGUGUCAAGUAUACACGGAUCAUAAGAGUUUGAAGUAUAUAUGGCGCUACGGGCGGCGACAGCUUCAGCUCCGGCGAACGUGGCAUCGACGAAUGAGUGCAGGCGUGGCUUAUACAUGGCGGUGAGGGCGGCAACGAUAAAUAGCUUCGGCGGGGCAAGGAGCCGGGAUGGGCCGAGAGAGGGCGCGGGUUGCAGGCGAUGGUGGGACGGCGACGACAGGUCUAGCGGAUGCAGCAUACGACGUGAGAGAGAGCGGGCGGGCACGCGUGGGGAGAGAAAGUGAAACCGCGUGGUCGGGCGUUGUUUCAUUAAAUCGACGUAUGUCCGACGACGUGUGUGGCAGCUGUGGGACAUAAGGAUUACUAGUCAGUUGUCCGUGCGUUGCGACGGCUCACAACAAUACCCUCGUAAACUAUCCACCAAAAAGAUCUCAAGAUUUUUUAUUGAUUGUCUCCACUCUCCGCAUAAUAUUUUUUAUUUGACUAACUGAUGUUGUUGUUUACUCCAUCCAAUGUCUUGGUCCACCAAGGCCAAUGAAGGGAGUGAUUAGAAGAGAUUUCACAACGACCGAUUGAACGAAUAUAGAUUAUAGAAUGACAUAAUUCCACCAUACAGAGACCAAAUAAGAGGAAGUUUGUGAGCUCAAGUUUCUAAAAUAAGUCACAUGAACUCAAACUUAUAAAAAAGAUAGGUCAAAAUAUGGAUUGGUUGCUAAAGUCAGUCAUCAAUAAAAAUUGGAUGUGCUCCAUACAAAUUAUGGUACUUCAUAGCAAUUACUAGCCUUUGAAAUCAACAAAUAACCUUUGAUUUUAUUGCUAGCGUGACAAAUCAUUGCUGCUCCAUCCCAUUUAGCAACCUCAAACACCAUGGAGUCCAUUGCGCCAAUUUGGUCUCAGAAACGACCUAAUGCAUGCAAGAGCCAAGAACACAACGGACGAGCAUCUCGUGGUAGUUCCCGCAUGGAUCUCCAAAUCCUAACACAUAUUUUGCAGGAUCCAUGAGCCAUCAUCAGAAAAAUACAAACCACGUGCAUACAAUAAAUAAAGUAUGAAUACACCCAAAUUAUGUUCAGUCAUUAGCACAACAAAAAACUAACACCCAAAACAACAGCAAAACAACAUAAUAUUUUUUGCAAUGAUAUAAGGAUGAGUGACAGGUACAUAGAAGUGGUAGAAGCAUACCGAGUCGACACCGUGGUAAGGGAAAGGCCAUGUAGACAGGCGAUGCCGAGCCAUCGAACGGGUACCACGCAGCAAAUCAGGGACCCCCAUCCCUCGCCUCCCCCACUUCUAAGGUUUUGUAGAGCAGGAAGGGAAGGGAAGAGGCGGGCAUACCUGUUCAUUGCCGGAGAAGGACACGACAAAUACCUAGGCAUCUGGAGGCAUAGGUAGUAUACAGCUAGAUACAUAUAGGGAGAGAGCACACAAGCGGAGAAAGAAGCCCAGUCGGAGCGGCUCCAAACCGAGAGGCACCCGCACUAGGCGUCAGUCCGAGAAGGGUGAGAGAAUGUGAGUGCCUUCCCAGCCAUGAACCCGCAAAGGCGACACAACAACAACACCAACUCCAUAGAAUAUGCCAACUAUUGUCGCGCCACGGGUCUUGGUUGUCCAAUAUCUCAGACAUGGACUCCUCAUCACCAAGAUAACCUAAGUGUGGCAGGCGUCACUAUGUCCUCCUCGGAGGUACGCACAAAGAAAGGCUAGGAGCAAGACCGACUUGCCCGUACUCGUGUCAACGAGCGUCGGUUGGCUCACGGCUGCGACCGUGGGUGGGGGCAGCAGGUUGGGGAGGAAGAACAAGGCGAAGGUCGGGAAGACGAACGAGUCGUCCGACGACGACGAAAACGAUGGUGCACGCAUGCUGUGAAACGUCCUCGUGGACGUGCAAUAUCCACUGCGCGGGUCGGUGUCGGGGCUGGUGUCGGACGAAUACGGGGAGGAGGUGCCUGCUCUCACGCUCUUUGCCGAGAAUGGGGUGACGCGGAGACGGAGGCAUGAGGGGAGAGAGAAAAGAAGUAGGAUGGCGAACGAGGUCGCGACAAUUGAGGCGAAGACCAUCAUUACCGUGUGGAGGUAUAGAUGGCCAAAUGAGUCGUAUCUGGUGACCCGGCCCGGGGCACGACCCGUUUAAUAGUGCUUGGGCCAGUCCCGCACGAGCGUCGUAUCUUGUUUGGGCUGUAGCCUCGGUCCGUAGUGCUAGUCCGACCCGACACGAUUAUUUUUUAUUUUACAAAUAAUCAUAUAUACAUAUGUACAAUUUAUAUUCAACAUUAAAAACAUCUGAGCAUGAUGUUCUACUGGUUAGACAACUUCACCUAGUGUCUCCCAUUAUUAGAGCGUGGGUUCGAACCCCGCCUCCUACAGCGUUUUUUAACAUUUUACGCUGAUUUAACCAAAUGACCCGAUGGGCUAACGGACCAGGCCGGCAUGGUCAGCAGGACGGCGUGCCGUGCCUGGGCCCGAGCUGCGGCACGUGGGCGUCGAGCCUAGCGGGCCCGUGCCGGGCCGCCUGUUUGGCCCUCUAUAUGCAGAGGUGUGGUUUGGGACGUGGAUGUUGCCUGCGCGGAGGGGACAUACGUGCAACGGGUUAAUUUAAAAUAAAUGUGUCGGGGACCAUAAUUAGGGGUACCCUCAAGAUGCCUAAUUCUCAGCUGGUAACCCCCAUCAGCAUAAAGCUGCAAAGGCCUGAUGGGUACGAUUAAGUCAGGGAUCAGUCCAUACGAGCGACUCGAUCACGCCUCGCCCGAGCCUAGCCUCGGGCAAGGGCAGCCGACCCCGAGGGAUUUCCGUCUCGCCCGAGGCCCCCCUUUAACGGCGGACACAUCUCCGGCUCGCCCGAGGCCUUGCCUUCUCUCAGAAGCAACCCUGACUAAAUCGCCGCACCGACCGGCCGAGUCGCAGGAGCAUUUAACGCAAAGGUGGCCUGACACCUUUAUCCUGACGUGCGCCCCCCUGCAGAGCCGAAGUGACCGCCGUCACUUCGCCGCUCCACUGACCGGUCUGACAGAAGGACAGCGCCGCCUGCGCCACUCCGACUGCAGUGCCACUUGACAGAGUGAGACUGACAGGCAGUCAGGCCCUGCCAAAGGCGCCAUAGGAAACUCCGCUCCGCCCGACCCAGGGCUCGGACUCGGGCUAAGCCCCGGAAGACGGCGAACUCCGCUCUGCCCGACCCAGGGCUCAGACUCGGGCUAAGCCCCGGAAGACGGCGAACUCCGCUUCGCCCGACCCAGGGCUCGGACUCGGGCAAAGCCCCGGAAGACGGCGAACUCCGCUCCGCCCGACCCAGGGCUCGGACUCGGGCUAAGCCCCGGAAGACGGCGAACUCCGCUCCGCCCGACCCAGGGCUCGGACUCGGUCUAAGCCCCGGAAGACGGCGAACUCCGCUCCGCUCGACCCAGGGCUCGGACUCGGGCUAAGCCCCGGAAGACGGCGAACUCCGCUCCGCCCGACCCAGGGCUCGGACUCGGGCAAAGCCCCGGAAGACGGCGAACUCCGCUCCGCCCGACCCAGGGCUCGGACUCGGGCUCAGCCCCAGAAGACGACAAACUCCGCUUCGCCCGACCCCAGGGCUCGGACUCCGCCCAGGCCUCUGCUGAACAAUCUCUGCCUCACCCGACCCAGGGGCUCGGGCGCGGCCUCGGCCAUGGAAGACAGACUCGACCUCGGCUUCGGAGGAGCCUCCACGUCGCCCGACCUAGGGCACAGGCCCGCCACGUCAACAGGAAGCGCCAUCAUCACCCUGCCUCGAGCCGACUCGGGCCGCAGAGAACAAGACCGGUGUCCCAUCUGGCUCGCUCCGCCAGAUAGGCAAUGAUGGCGCCCCGCUAGCCCUGUGACGACGGCGGCUCUCAGCUCCCUUACGGAAGCAGGGGGACGUCAGCAAGGACUCAACUGCUCCGACAGCUGUCCCUCCGCCAGGCUCCGUUGCUCCUCCGACAGCCACGACAUCACACCAGCAGGGCGCCAAGAUCUCUCCGGCCGCCACAUUGGCAUGUACUUAGGGCGCUAGCUCUCCCUCCGCUAGACACGUAGCACUCUGCUACACCCCCAUUGUACACCUGGAUCCUCUCCUUACGCCUAUAAAAGGAAGGACCAGGGCCUUCUUAGAAAAGGUUGGCCGCGCGGGGACGAGGACGGGACAGGCGCUCUCUUGGGGCCUCUCGCUUCCCUCACCCGCGUGGACGCUUGUAACCCCCUACUGCAAGCGCACCCGACCUGGGCGCGGGAUGAACACGAAGGCCGCGGGAUUUCCACCUCUCUCACGACCCGUCUCCGGCCACCUCGCUCUCCCCCCUUCGCGCUCGCCCACGCGCUCGACCCAUCUGGGCUGGGGCACGCGGCACACUCACUCGUCGGCUUAGGGACCCCCCGGUCUCGAAACGCCGACAGUUGGCGUGCCAGGUAGGGGCCUGCUGCGUGCUGACGAACAGCUUCCCGUCAAGCUCCAGAUGGGCAGUCUCCAGCAACCUCUCCGGCCCGGGACGGUGCUCCGUUUCGGGAGUCUUGAGUUUAUGUCCUUCGACGGCAGCUACGACAUGAUACUCCUUCCACCGCCACGUGACAACGACAAUGGCGGCCGACAACCCGCCCGCCGGCGGCGGAAUCGACGACAUCUUCCCCGCGCGGUGGAAGAACAACAUUCGAGCUCGCCCCGUCCUCUCCCCCGCCAACGGAGGAGGAGGCGGGGCAACCAAGGCCAAGCGGGAGGCCUCGCUUCGUCGGCUGUCGAGCGAAUCGACGUCCCCAGCGCCCCAACGGGGGGCGCGUCAGGCGUCGACCUCGCAUUUGAGACGAAGGCGAGCGCCGUCCCCCCGCGACACACCAAUCCCGAGCAAGUGGACGACGCCAGCGCGCUUGCGGAGAGCUUGCAGGAUGUCGCCCUCGUACCUGAGACGACGGUGCAACCAGUCCCCGACGUGACUAUGACGCUCCUCGUCGACCAAAAGGUACCGACUGAUUCCCAUCUUACGUCAUUUCGACUCGGCCUCAACCCGCCUAGCGACCUUGCUUCAGCGGGCGCUCUCGUUGAGGCGAGUGCAACCCCUCUGGGGUCUCGUAUGCGGUCGCCUUGGGACCGGUUGACGGACGUCUCGACCUACGGGCCCUCUGGGCCCGAGGAAGACGACGAUCCCAGCAUCUGUUGGGAUUUCUCCGGAUUUGGCAACCCCAGUGCCAUGCGGGACUUUAUGACCGCAUGUGACUACUGCCUCUCCGACUGUUCCGACGGUAGCCGCGGCCUUGACGACGAGGACUGCGGCCCAAGCCGCGAAUGUUUCCACGUCGAGCUAGGGGAUCCCUCCGAAGGCAACCAUCUCGGCAUGCCGGAGGACGGUGAUCUUCCUAGGCCGGUGCCUCGCGCCGACAUCCCGCGGGAGCUAGCUGUGGUCCCCGUUCCGGCGGGGGGUCACGACCCACAGCUCGAGCAAGUCCGCGGGGCGCAGGCCAGGCUCGACGAGGGAGCGGGAGCGCUUGAGCCGAUCCGUCGGGACAUCGGGCAGGUAUGGGCGGGCCAACCCCCGGCCGGAGAAAUGCGUCACCUGCCCCAAGAUUUCCAGCACCGCGUCACCAACGACGUCAGGGUCAGACCGCCACCCGCAUCCAGCGGGGUCGGUCAGAACCUGGCAGCCGCAGCGAUGCUCCUCCGCGCGAUGCCGGAGCCAUCAACCACCGAGGGUCGGCGAAUCCAGGGAGAGCUCAAGAAUCUCCUGGAAGGCGCUGCGGUCCGACAGGCCAAGAGCUCUGCCUCCCGAAGGCAGGGAUACCCCUCGGAACCUCACGUCGCGACUUCCCGAUUCAUGCGGGAAGCCUCGGUCUACACCGGGCGCACGCGCAACACCGCGCCUGCAGCCCCGGGCCACCUCGGCAACGAGCACCAUCGUCGCGACCAUCGGGCCCGCCUCGACGAGAGGGUGCACCGAGGCUACCACCCCAGGCGUGGGGGACGCUAUGACAGCGGGGAGGAUUGGAGUCCCUCGCCCGAACCACCCGGUCCGCAGGCCUUCAGUCGGGCCAUCCAACGGGCGCCGUUCCCGACCCGGUUCCGACCCCCGACUACUAUCACGAAGUACUCGGGGGAAACAAGACCGGAACUGUGGCUCGCAGACUACCGCCUGGCCUGCCAACUGGGUGGAACGGACGACGACAACCUCAUCAUCCGCAACCUCCCCCUGUUCCUCUCCGACACUGCUCGCACCUGGUUGGAGCACCUGCCUCCGGGGCAGAUCUCCAACUGGGAUGACUUGGUCCAAGCCUUCGCCGGCAAUUUCCAGGGCACGUACGUGCGCCCCGGAAAUUCCUGGGACCUCCGAAGCUGCCGGCAACAGCCGGGAGAGUCACUCCGGGACUACAUCUGGCGAUUCUCGAAGCAGCGCACCGAGCUGCCCAACAUCACCGACUCGGAUGUCAUCGGCACGUUCCUUGCCGGCACCACCUGCCGUGACCUGGUGAGUAAGUUGGGUCGCAAGACCCCCACCAGGGCGAGCGAGCUGAUGGACAUCGCCACCAAGUUCGCCUCUGGCUAGGAGGCGGUCGAGGCUAUCUUCCGAAAGGACAAGCAGCCCCAGGGCCGCCCAUCGGAAGAGGCUCCCGAGGCAUCUACUUCGCGCGGCGCCAAGAAGAAAGGCAAGAAGAAGUCGCAAUCGAAACGCGACACCGCCGACGCGGACCUUGUCGCCGCCGCCGAGUACAAGAACCCUCGGAAGCCCCCCGAAGGUGCUAACCUCUUCGACAAGAUGCUCAAGGAGCCGUGCCCCUACCAUCAGGGGCCCGUCAAGCACACCCUCAAGGAGUGUGUCAUGCUUCGGCGCCACUUCCACAGGGUCGGGCCACCCGCCGAGGGUGGCAGGGCCCACGACGACGACAAAAAGGAAGAUCAUCAAGCAGGAGAGUUCCCCGAGGUCCGCGACUGCUUCAUGAUCUACGGUGGGCACGUGGCGAAUGCCUCGGCUCGGCAUCGCAAACAAGAGCGCCGGGAGGUCUGCUCGGUGAAGGUGGCGGCGCCAGUCUACCUAGACUGGUCCAACAAGCCCAUCACCUUCGACCAAGCUGACCACCCCGACCACGUGCCGAGCCCGGGGAAAUACCCGCUCGUCGUCGACCCCAUCAUCGGCGACGUCAGGCUCACCAAGGUCCUGAUGGACGGGGGCAGCUGCCUCAACAUCAUCUACGCCGAGAUCCUCAGGCUCCUGCGCGUCGAUCUGUCCUCCGUCCGAGUAGGCGUUGCGCCCUUCCACGGGAUCAUCCCUGGGAAGCGCGUCCAACCCCUCGGACGGCUCGACCUUCCUGUCUGCUUCGGAACGCCCUCCAACUUUCGAAGGGAGACCUUGACGUUCGAGGUGGUCGGGUUCCGAGGAACCUACCACGCGGUACUGGGGAGGCCAUGCUACGCGAAGUUCAUGGCCGUCCCCAACUACACCUACUUGAAGCUCAAGAUGCCGGGCCCCAACGGGGUCAUCACCGUCGGCCCCACGUACAAACACGCGUUCGAAUGCGACGUGGAGUGCGUGGAGUACGUCGAGGCCCUCGCCGAGUCCGAGGCCCUCAUCGCCGACCUGGAGAACCUCUCCAAAGAGGUGCCAGACGUGAAGCGUCAUGCCGGCAACUUCGAGCCAGCGGAGACGGUUAAGGCCGUCCCUCUCGACCCCAGUGGCGACACCUCCAAGCAGAUCCGGAUCGGUUCCGGGCUCGACCCCAAAUAGGAAGCAGUGCUCGUUGACUUUCUCCGCGCAAACGCCAACGUCUUUGCGUGGAGUCCCUCGGACAUGCCCGGCAUACCGAGGGAUGUCGCCGAGCACUCGCUGGAUAUUCGGGCCGGAGCCCGACCCGUCAGGCAGCCUCUGCGCCGAUUCGACGAGGAGAAGCGCAGAGUGAUAGGCGAAGAGAUCCACAAGCUAAUGGCAGCAGGGUUCAUCAAAGAGGUAUUCCAUCCCGAAUGGCUUGCCAACCCUGUGCUGGUGAGGAAGAAAGGGGGGAAAUGGCGGAUGUGUGUAGACUACACUGGUCUCAACAAAGCAUGUCCGAAGGUUCCCUACCCUCUACCUCGCAUUGAUCAAAUCGUGGAUUCCACUGCUGGGUGCGAAACCCUGUCCUUCCUCGAUGCCUACUCAGGGUAUCACCAAAUCCGGAUGAAAGAGUCUGAUCAGCUCGCGACUUCUUUCAUCACGCCCUUCGGCAUGUACUGCUACCUCACCAUGCCGUUCGGUUUGAGGAAUGCGGGCGCGACGUACCAGCGGUGCAUGAACCAUGUGUUCGGCGAACACAUCGGUCGCACGGUCGAGGCCUACGUCGAUGACAUCGUAGUCAAGACAAGGAAGGCUUCCGACCUCCUCUCCGACCUUGAAGUGACAUUCCGAUGUCUCAAAGAGAAAGGCGUCAAGCUCAAUCCCGAGAAGUGUGUCUUCGGGGUGCCCCGGGGCAUGCUCUUGGGGUUCAUCGUCUCCGAGCGAGGCAUCGAAGCCAACCCGGAGAAGAUCGCAACCAUCACCAGCAUGGGGCCCAUCAAGGACUUAAAAGGCGUACAGAGGGUCAUGGGAUGUCUCGCGGCCCUGAGCCGCUUCAUCUCACGCCUCGGCGAAAGAGGUCUGCCUCUGUACCGCCUCUUAAGGAAGACCGAGUGCUUCGCUUGGACCCCUGAGGCCGAGGAAGCUCUCGGGAACCUGAAGACGCUCCUUACAAAGGCACCUAUCUUGGUGCCCCCAGCUGAUGGAGAAACCCACUUGGUUUACGUCGCCGCGACCACUCAGGUGGUUAGCGCCGCGAUUGUGGUCGAGAGGCAAGAAGAAGGGCAUGCAUUGCCCGUUCAGAGGCCAGUCUACUUCGUCAGCGAGGUACUGUCCGAGACCAAGAUCCGCUACCCGCAAGUUCAGAAGCUGCUGUAUGCAGUGAUCCUGACGAGGCGAAAGUUGCGACAUUACUUCGAGUCUCAUCCGGUAACUGUGGUGUCAUCCUUCCCCCUGGGGGAGAUCAUCUAGUGCCAAGAGGCCUCGGGCAGGAUCGCAAAGUGGGCGGUGGAAAUCAAGGGCGAAACAAUCUCGUUCGCCCCUCGGAAGGCCAUCAAGUCCCAGGUGUUGGCGGACUUCGUAGCCGAAUGGGUCGACACCCAGCUGCCGACGGCUCCGAUCCAACCGGAGCUCUGGACCAUGUUUUUCGACGGGUCACUGAUGAAGACGGAAGCCGGCGCGGGCCUGCUCUUCAUCUCGCCCCUCAGGAAACACCUACGCUACGUGCUACGCCUCCAUUUCCCGGCGUCCAACAAUGUGGCUGAGUACGAGGUCUGGUCAACGGGCUGCGGAUCGCCAUCGAGCUGGGGGUCAGAUGUCUCGACGCUCGCGGUGACUCGCAGCUCGUCAUCAACCAAGUCAUGAAGAACUCCCACUGCCGCGACCCGAAGAUGGAGGCCUACUGCGAUGAGGUUCGGCGCCUGGAAGACAAGUUCUACGGGCUCGAGCUCAACCACAUCGCUCGGCGCUACAACGAGACUGCGGACGAGCUGGCUAAAAUAGCCUCGGGGCGAACAACGGUUCCCCCGGACGUCUUCUCCCGGGAUCUGCAUCAACCCUCCGUCAAGAUCGACGACACGCUCGAGCCCGAGGCACCCUCGGCACAGCCCGAGGCGCCCUCGGUUCAGCCCGAGGUACCCUCGGCCCCCGAGGGCGAGGCACUGCACGUCGAGGAGGAGCAGAGCGGGGCCAUGCCUGAUCAAAAUUGGCAGACCCCAUACCUGCAAUAUCUCCGCCAAGGAGAGCUACCCCUUGACCAGGCCGAGGCUCGGCGGGUAGCGCGGCGCGCCAAGUCGUUCGUCUUGCUGGGCGAUGAGGAGGAGCUCUACCACCGCAGCCCCUCGGGCAUCCUCCAGCGAUGCAUCUCCAUCGCCGAAGGUCAGGAGCUCCUGCAAGAAAUACACUCGAGGGCUUGUGGCCAUCAUGCAGCGCCUCGAGCCCUUGUCGGGAAUGCUUUCCGGCAAGGCUUCUACUGGCCAACGGCGGUGGCUGACGCCACUAGAAUUGUCCGCACCUGCGAAGGGUGCCAAUUCUAUGCGAAGCAGACCCACCUGCCCGCUCAGGCUCUGCAGACGAUACCCAUCACCUGGCCCUUUGCUGUAUGGGGUCUGGACCUCGUCGGUCCCUUGCAGAAGGCGCCCGGGGGCUACACGCACCUGCUGGUCGCCAUCGACAAAUUCUCCAAGUGGAUCGAGGUCCGACCCCUGAACAUCAUCAGGUCCGAGCAGGCGGUGGCGUUCUUCACCAACAUCAUCCAUCGCUUUGGGGUCCCGAACUCCAUCAUCACUGACAACGGUACCCAGUUCACCGGCAAAAAAUUCUUGGAUUUUUGCGAGGAUCACCACAUCCGGGUGGACUGGGCCGCCGUGGCUCAUCCCAUGUCGAAUGGGCAAGUAGAGCGUGCCAACGGCAUGAUUCUACAAGGGCUCAAGCCCCGGAUUUACAACGACCUCAACAAGUUCGGCAAGCGAUGGAUGAAGGAACUCCCCUCGGUGGUCUGGAGCCUGAGGACAACGCCAAGCCGAGCCACGGGUUUCACGCCGUUCUUCCUGGUCUAUGGUGCCGAGGCCAUCUUGCCCACUGACCUGGAAUACGGCUCCCCAAGGAUGAGGGCCUACAACGAUCAAAGCAACCAAGCUAGCCGAGAAGAGUCGCUGGACCAGCUAGAAGAGGCUCGGGAUAAGGCCUUACUACACUCAGCGCGGUACCAGCAGUCCCUGCGACGCUACCACGCCCGAGGGGUCCGGCCCCGAGACCUCCAGGUGGGCGACCUGGUGCUUCGGCUGCGGCAAGACGCCCGAGGGAGGCACAAGCUCACGCCCCCCUGGGAGGGGCCAUUCGUCAUCGCCAAAGUUCUGAAGCCCGGAACAUACAAGCUGGCCAACAAUCAAGGCGAGAUCUACGGCAACGCUUGGAACAUCAAACAGCUACGUCGCUUCUACCCUUAAGAUGUUUUCAAGUUGUUCAUAUACCUCGCACUCGCGCAAAGUUUAGUCAUCAAGGAAGGGUCGGCCUCGCCUCGGCAAAGCCCGACCCUCCCUCGGGGGCUAAAAGGGGGGAGACCCCCUCUGCGUCGAAAUUUUCUCGAAAAAAGAUCUCUUUUAGCAUAAUAUCUUUCGUGCUUUUUGACUACUUCGAAAAGCGGAUCCUGGAAACGACGGAGUACACGUAAGCAGCCAAGGCUGACCGAGCCGAGGGACUCCUACGCCUCCGGGAUACGGAUACCUCACUCAUCACCUUCUGCGAUAAGUAACUCGCAUUCGGAUAAAAUGAUUCCGCGGACCGAACAAGUCUUUACGUUCGGAAGCUCUUCUGCCGAAGCGGAUCCUUCGAGCCUUCUCGACUGAGUCGGAGACAGGGCCUCGUGGACGGGUGAAAGUACGCGUAAGCGGCAAGGCCGACCGAGCCGAGGGACUCCCACGCCUCUGGGAUACGGAUACCUCACUCGUCACCUUCCGCGAGAAGCAACUCUCGCCCGCACAAACAUCCCUGUUACCGACAAAAAGUCCAGAUACUCGAAACAAGAGGAAAGGAGACGCAGCUUUACAACGCAGCGAGGGUGUGUUUUCUGGCCCCUGCGGCCGCAGAAGGCACACGCUACAAGACAAUCUGAUCCUGCAGGCUCGGGUCUUCACGCUGGAAGGGGGCUGUAGCACCCUCGGCAUCGACGACACCUUCAGUGAGGUCCGACCCAGCCUCGGACAGCGACGCGGUCCAGGGACUUCCCCGGGAAUCCGGCCCGAGCAGGCAGCUCGGCCGGGUGCCUCAGGGGCCUCGGCCAACCAUCUCCCAAGGGCGCCAGCCCGGCCCGAGGCCUCGGCUGGUCAACUCCGGCAUCGGUCCCGCUGACGGACAACCCGGCUAGGCUCCGGCCAACCAGGUUCCCAUUUUCGAGCCAACUCCACCCCUGUUCGUGCUGAUAUCGCUACCCCUGGCCUCGGCUCAUCGAAGAGCGGCCAAGGGGUCUCUUUAACUAAGCUAGAGGAGCCUCAGACAACAAGGCCGAUCGAGCCGAGGGACUCCUACGCCUCCGGGAUACGGAUACCUCACUCGUCACCUUGGCACGGGGCGACUCAUGCUUGGUGAAGCGGUUCAGAUAAUCAACAGGCGAGGCUUAGUGCUCGAAAAUGAGGAAAAGACACGGCUCCGUGCCGAAAUUGCAUACAUGUUCAGGCCUCGACAGCCACGAUGAACAAAAACACUGGCAUUCAAAGUGCCCUUACAAACGGAACUCCGGUUCCGCCCCCGCGGGUAUGAGCGACCUCGAGCCUGCGGGGCGACGAACAUCGGAGGCUCGCCAGCGACCUCUGCAGCAGCAGCCAUGGUCCUGGGUGGACGCGGCCACCGGAGGGCUCUUGUUCGCGGUCCCGCUCAAGGGACACGAACCAACUAUCAAAGCCAAAGAGCGGGCCGCUCCCAAGCGCACCGGCAGAUCCUCGCUGCCGUCCUCGCCACGAAUGCGAGGGGAAGGACGGAAUGUUGCAUCCUAGCUGGGCAGCAACAGUUCGCCUUCCCCGGCAUGACUGGAGGACGUCUCCGUCGCAGCGCGGAAGGACGAUUGCCACCACCAGAAGCUGGAAGAGGAGGUGGUCCGCCGACCCGCGCAGGAGGUAGAGCCCCGGCUCGCCUCGCUCCCCGUCCCAGCGAGGAUGACGAACACCCCCGAUGCUGAGGGCGGGAUCACAGCCUGGCUUGCCUCUCCCCAUCCAGGAGCUGGAGGUCACCGUCUUGGGUGACCACCAGCGGAGGGGAGCAACCGGGCUGUGUGAUGAAAAUCCUUGAAGCCGAACGAUGGCUGAAAGGUACCAACUCCCACGGAGUUGCGUUCCUCCAACGAUGAGGCGGAAAGACGGCGGGUACCCCCCAUCCGGGGGCUUGGAAGAUGGAAAGACACGACGCAUAAGGGAGGAAGAAGACAUGGUCGCCUUCCGAAAGGGGUCACCCUCCUUUUAAAGGCAACUCUCCCUACGUGCGCCCCCAAACGCCGCGGGCUGAGUCUUCUCCAACACGCUCCAAGGCCUUCCCCUGCGGCGCGGGGGCUGGGUCCCGCAUGUCAUGCAAACCGGCUCAGAGCAGAAGAAGCCAAAGCGCCGCACCUGAUGCACACAACCGCCCAGCGGUUACAAGCGACCCCCACUUUUGCCCAGACCAACGGGCGGAAGGAGUGGGCAGCCAUGCAGGCGGCAUGCAACCGCGCCAAGUGGACACGCUUCUCCGACUCCCAACGCGCUAGCAUGGAGGCCCAGACCCACGCGUCACGCAACCGGCGCGCCGGAUGCUGCAUGCAGGCAACUGCCACCGCCACUUACGCCACCAUCGCGCAUCUUCGGUUGCGGAACCAAUGCCGCGACUCGAGGCGACCCAGCGCACGACCCAGCAGCGCCAGCCUGGCGCGAUGGUCAAUGCGGCCGAAAGUGGGCCGGUAGUAAUGACGGUGGCAGGCGGGCGGGAGCAGCGGUCAAGUCGUCAGCCAGGCUCACGUCCUAUCCAGGGGCAGCAAGAGAGCCUCCUCUCACGGCGUGAAGACGACGCGCCCGUGAACCGUUCCUCGAAUGGCUCGCGCACGUGCAACGACCGCCCCGCCAACCACUCGCCCCGUCGCAUUAACUCUGCGGCGGGACAGGCGGCGCUUCCGGCAGGAGAAGCGGGCGACGCUUCGCCUUCGCAGUAAUAACCGCGCCAAAAAAGGUACGCCACGUCAUUCGAUUUCGUAUCCUUUUCCUUUUUUCCUCUUUCUCUAUCUCUUGCAACAGGGACCGGGAAAGAGGGAUACCCCGAAAAGGAUCCUUCCCUGUGAAGGAACCGGGCUCCGAGCCCCCCCUACUGAUCAGAGGUUCGAAGGCUGGCCCUCCGAGGGGUUCAACAGUCGCCUCAGAUCGCGUGGGCCCUACACCCACUACUGGUCAGAGGUUCGAAGGCCGGCCCCCCGAAGGGCUCCACGGCCGCCUCAGGCUACUCGGGCUCCGCGCCCAUUACUGAUCAGGGGUUCGAAGGCUGGCCCCCGAAGGGUUCACAGUCGCCUCAAACGCCGAGCGAGGGAUGACCAGGGGUACGUUCGAUACAUAGCCGAGGCUCGGGCUGCGCUCCCGAGGUACCCUAGGACAUUUCCGAGACCAGCGGGAGCGAUCUUGUAACGGAAUCCCAUCGGAGGGAGGCAUCGAGCCCUCGGACCCCGUCGCCAGGGGACCGGGUCCGGCAGAUCACCCGCAGGUACUUUUGGGCGUGCCUCUGGGCCCCUAGCCGACCCCCAACGAACGGGGCACGGAUGUCCACUCGGAUUACCCGCUUGCAGCUCACCGGAGACACCAUGUUCGGUGCCCAUCGAGGGUAACAUGGCGCACUCCCCCCCUCCUCCUUGCGGAAAGGCGACGUAGGGGCGUAUGUAAAAAAGCCGAGUCUGUCCCUGAUCGCCCUCUCGCCCUGUGCGGAGGCUCGGGGGCUGCUCUCGCAAACCCGGCUCCGGCCGAACCGUUGACAGCGUCAACAUACCAGCCCGAGAACUUGGGCCCCGACCGUGCACCCGGGCUACGGCCAGUUCGCAUGAGGGAACAACCAGACCAGCCGAAGCAUUUCGCAAGGCACUAAGACCUCGAAGGAGUGAAACCACUCCUCCGAGGCCUCGGGGGCUACACCCGGCGGGUGCGCUCGCGCGCACCCACUGGAACAAAAUGCAACCGAGAAAGGCUGGUCCCCUUGCAAAAAAGUGCGACAAAAGCCUCCAAGCGAGUGAUAACACUCCCUUCGAGGCUCGGGGGCUACUGUCGGGGACCAUAAUUAGGGGUACCCUCAAGACGCCUAAUUCUCAGCUGGUAACCCCCAUCAGCAUAAAGCUGCAAAGGCCUGAUGGGUACGAUUAAGUCAGGGAUCAGUCCAUACGAGCGACUCGAUCACGCCUCGCCCGAGCCUAGCCUCGGGCAAGGGCAGCCGACCCCGAGGGAUUUCCGUCUCGCCCGAGGCCCCCCUUUAACGGCGGACACAUCUCCGGCUCGCCCGAGGCCUUGCCUUCUCUCAGAAGCAACCCUGACUAAAUCGCCGCACCGACCGACCGAGUCGCAGGAGCAAUUAACGCAAAGGUGGCCUGACACCUUUAUCCUGACGCGUGCCCCCCGGCAGAGCCGAAGUGACCGCCGUCACUUCGCCGCUCCACUGACCGGUCUGACAGAAGGACAGCGCCGCCUGCGCCACUCCGACUGCAGUGCCACUUGACAGAGUGAGACUGACAGGCAGUCAGGCCCUGCCAAAGGCGCCAUAGGAAACUCCGCUCCGCCCGACCCAGGGCUCGGACUCGGGCUAAGCCCCGGAAGACGGCGAACUCCGCUCCGCCCGACCCAGGGCUCGGACUCGGGCUAAGCCCCGGAAGACGGCGAACUCCGCUCCGCCCGACCCAGGGCUCGGACUCGGGCAAAGCCCCGGAAGACGGCGAACUCCGCUCCACCCGACCCAGGGCUCGGACUCGGGCUAAGCCCCGGAAGACGGCGAACUCCGCUCCGCCCGACCCAGGGCUCGGACUCGGGCAAAGCCCCGUAAGACGGCGAACUACGCUCCGCCCGACCCAGGGCUCGGACUCGGGCUAAGCCCCGGAAGACGGCGAACUCCGCUCCGCCCGACCCAGGGCUCAGACUCGGGCUAAGCCCCGAAAGACGGUGAACUCCGCUCCGCCCGUCCCAGGGCUCGGACUCGGGCUAAGCCCCGGAAGACGGCGAACUCCGCUCCGCCUGACCCAGGGCUCGGACUCGGGCAAAGCCCCGGAAGACGGCGAACUCCGCUCCGCCCGACCCAGGGCUCGGACUCGGGCUCAGCCCCAGAAGACGACGAACUCCGCUUCGCCCGACCCCAGGGCUCGGACUCCGCCCAGGCCUCUGCCGAACAAUCUCCGCCUCGCCCGACCCAGGGGCUCGGGCGCGGUCUCGGCCAUGGAAGACAGACUCGACCUCGGCUUCGGAGGAGCCUCCACGUCGCCCGACCUAGGGCACAGGCCCGCCACGUCAACAGGAAGCGCCAUCAUCACCCUGCCCCGAGCCGACUCGGGCCGCAGAGAACAAGACCGGUGUCCCAUCUGGCUCGCUCCGCCAGAUAGGCAAUGAUGGCGCCCCGCUAGCCCUGUGACGACGGCGGCUCUCAGCUCCCUUAUGGAAGCAGGGGGACGUCAGCAAGGACUCAACCGCUCCGACAGCUGUCCCUCCGCCAGGCUCCGUUGCUCCUCCGACAGCCACGACAUCACACCAGCAGGGCGCUAAGAUCUCUCCGGCUGCCACAUUAGCAUGUACUUAGGACACUAGCUCUCCCUCCGCUAGACACGUAGCACUCUGCUACACCCCCAUUGUACACCUGGAUCCUCUCCUUACGCCUAUAAAAGGAAGGACCAGGGCCUUCUUAGAAAAGGUUGGCCGCGCAGGGAUGAGGACGGGACAGGCGCUCUCUUGGGGCCGCUCGCUUCCCUCACCCGCGUGGACGCUUGUAACCCCCUACUGCAAGCGCACCCGACCUGGGCGCGGGACGAACACGAAGGUCGCGAGAUUUCCACCUCUCUCACGACCCGUCUCCGGCCACCUCGCUCUCCCCCCUUCGCGCUCGCCCACGCGCUCGACCCAUCUGGGCUGGGGCACGCGGCACACUCACUCGUCGGCUUAGGGACCCCCCGGUCUCGAAACGCCGACAAGAUGUGAGUGGUUAUUUGUAAAAUAAAAAAUAAUCGGAUGUUUAGUAUUACUUCCGACUGGUGUCCUUGAGACCACGGAAAUAAGCAAGCACAAUCGGAUGUUUCUUUGUUUCAUGUUGUGCACGAUAGGUAAUAAAAAUUUAUCUGCCAUUGCUAACCAUGACGAAAGAAUGAGUCUCGAAGUCGAAAGAAAAGCACAAUUUUAUUUGUCUCGACGUUUUUUAUUGUAAGUUAUUGUAGUGGGAGUCCCUACAUUAUUUUUUAUAUCAAAGAAUGAGUAUCUAUAGGUUACAUGUGGGAUCGAGAGAGAGAGAGGUUACAAUGUUUGUGUCUAUAGACUAACGGAGUGUUUUGUUAUAUAAUAGUUGAGCAUAGUAUCUCCCUCUUGAACAAUUUUUUACAAUUGUUUACAGUUUUAUUAUAUAACUUUUUCUGCAUUUCUAGAUACAUAAUUUUAUUUGUCUCGAUGUUGACAAGUACAAUAGAGAUUAGAUUAAAUUGAACAGUUCUACUACAGUGAUAUAUGGUAAUUGAUCACAGGGGGUCCGACUAUUAGGGGGGAAUUAGGACCUGAGGUGGGAAUUAGGACCCUGUCAUGCUGGAGGUCAAGGAGUUGGUGCCCGCCGUACUAAGAAGAAGUCAAGUGCUUGCUUGAUCUAGCUAGUAAAACGUGUACGACACAUGUUGGUUUGGUGGAACCGACACAUAUUAUAUUCCACAAGAGGAACAAGCCACACAAAUUCGGUGGUGGCGUCUCCUCCUGCUCUCCCUCCGUUGUUCUUGUCUCGUUACCUACAGAUGCGUGUGGUGGUAGAGAGUCGCGGCAGUGGUUCGAGACACUUGUCGAUGGAGGAAGAUAAAGACGGCACCGCGUGCGGGAUGCGACGGUGACGACUAGUGAGUCGGACUCCAAAAAGAUGAUCUCUACUUGAUGUCUUCUAUGGUGGUGUGAAAGAAUUUGGAUAAGGGUGGUGGAGACAGAGAAAGAGAUGGAAAAUUGAGGGUUAAUAUACGACGACAACAUUGAGGAAGACGUGAUUGGUUACACAUGCAAGCAAGAGAUAAGUCUUAUCCACUAGUAGAAAAGAGCUCAAAACCUGCGGUGGGAUUUAAUUUUUACAGACCGAUUCGGUUAUCAUCCGUCAGUGCUAUUUCUAGUGACGGUUCCUUAAAAAACCGCUACUAGAAAUCAUAUUUCUACAUGCGAUUCGUUAAGAAAACCAAAUGUGGAAAUCUAUGAUUUCUAGUGGCGGUUUUCUUAAGAGACUGCCACUAGAAAUCAUUUUUAUCCUUUUUUUCUUGAGUUUUUCAAACGACCUUGGAUGAUAAACCACCAAUAUAAAAGUUAUAGAUCUUGAAAAGUUAUGAAACCUUGUAGUUGACAACUUUUUAAAUUGAAAUCAUCUCAGCUCUCAAAAAUUGCAUUCGAAUUUGUCAAAUUCAAAAUGCAAUUUUUUGCAAACGACCUUGGAUGGAAAAAUAUCAACAUAAAAUUGUAGAACUUCAAAAGUUAUAAAAUUAUGCAGUUGACAAUGUUUUCAAUUGAAUUCGUUUACAGCCUCAAAUAGUCAAUUUAUACUCGGAAUGUUCUAAUAUGUGAGCAACAAAACUGCAAUAUAGACACAAGGCACGUCAUAGGUGGAGUGGUAGAGGAUAUUUUAUGUUUACUGGAAAAUAUUCUCACUAGCGGUUUUAUUACCUUGACUGCCAGUGAAAAUCGAUUUUCACUGGCGGUUUUACUAGCCCGACCGAUAGUGGAAAUCGAUUUCCACUGGCGGUUCUCAGUUACUCGUCUGUACAAAUAAUUUUAAAGAAACUAGUACAAUGUUCGUCGUUGCGACAACACACAAUCAUAUUUGAUAACUAUAAAAAUAAAUUUAAUAUCAAAGUGAGCAUAUGGUCCACAUAUUAGAUAUUAAACUGAUAAAAACAAAUAUUAUAAUUUAUCUUAGUGACAACAUUUGAACUUACACGUGACGACGUUUUCAUGUACUAGUUAAUGAUAAAAAUAAAUAAUUACCUUAUCAAAAGAUCACUCAUUGUACAAAUGUGUUUUUUAUGUACACAUUAUGAUUUCUUACAUCUGACAAUGUGUAGAAGUAACAAUGUUUUACAUUAAUAACAUAUGAAGUGAUGUCACUUAUUUAGAAGUGACAAGGUGGCCUCCUACGCCUCCUUGUGGUCCCUCUCGGCCACCUGUUUAAGCUAAAAGGCAACGAUGGGGAAGGUGCGUCAGAGCCCGGCGAGGGUGUGCAACAUGAGCUUGGUGCCGGAGGGGUUGACCUACGAACAUUAUUAUAGGUCGGUGAGCACGGUGGACGGGGUGGCUCUAGCGCGACAUGCACGGAGGGUCAUUGGCGACCAUGUGCGACAUGCAUGGAGUUUGUUUGAGCGUUUUGGUGGGUCGCAGCCGUGGCAUCCGAUCAUCUGUUCCGUUGAGCCUCAGGGUGGGGGGCAACGUUUGGGGCGGGCCGCAAUGACACCUGGUCCAGUGCGCCGUUGGCGACGACAAAAUCGAGGCUAGGGCGCCGUCAGCGGAGGCGAUGGGAUGGGGCCAGGGUUGCUGGGUGAUCGGGGCAGGGGAUCGGGUCCUAUUGUUUUUGGGGCUGGGGCUGGGGAUCGAGUCCCGUUGUUUUCGGGGCCGGGGCGGGGGAUCGGGUCCCGUUGUUUUUGGGGCCGGGACGGCGUGAUCAGGGCGCGCGGGAUCAUUCGGAUGGUGGGCAAAUCGGACGGCUUAGAUUGCAUAACGGUACAACGGACUGCUAAUUUGCGUAACGGUAGAACGGUCGGGAGGCAGCCUACCCCUUGCAGCCUUAAUAAGUAGUAGAGAUUAUACGACGGUAUGGUGGUGCACUUUCUCUUUGUUGACUUCUCUUCGUCUUCUUUUUUUUGGGGGGGGGGGAGUUGACUCUUUCUAUAUACAUUGGUUAUUAGUGAGCACACGAAUAGUUGGUCUCUUUGCUUCUUAGUUGGUCUCCUCAGCUGGUCUCUUUCAACGUGCUCCUUGAUUUGUUUUUUUAAUGACAAAUAACAGUGUUUGUGUUGGUUCAUUGCACAACCUAUAUAAGUUUUAUGCUACCAUACGUACGUAGAAAGAGUCAACUCACAAAAAUUAUAGAAAUAGUCAGCAAUGCUUGUUCGCCUUGUGGAAUAUAUAUCUGUCAGCUCCACACCAAACGAACUUGUGAAACCGAAAGAUAUGUUUGUGUUGUUUUUUUGCCGAUUGCCCGACAUAAAGUACUCGGCAAAGAGGCCGUAGCCAAUAAACUGUUUACCGAGACCUGUUUGCCGAGUGUUACACUCGGUAAAGCAUUUGCCAGCUGUUGUUGAGGUUUUGAUAAGUGCCGCAUGCACUCCGCAAAGAACAUUGUUCCGGUAGUGGUUGUUACAAUUGGUUUGGUGUGAAACCGAAAGAUGUAUAUAUUCCACAAUUUAGAAAAGCAAAAAAAACGGUGAACACGCUAGUAAACAUUGCAAACAUUCAUAUGUUAUAUUUGACUCGUCAAGUGAUCACGGAUGACGGAUGACGAAACGAAGAUUGUUGGAUAUAGUUACGACUAUAUGAGGUGGUGUCGUUUGUUUCGCAUAUUUGUAACGUGAUAUGUAAUUGAUAAUGUUAAAUCAUUUUUGUUUAAUUCCAACCGUAAUCUAAUACUACACUAGAAUGUGAUACCGACCUAUUUAAAUUUAUUACCGUGGAUAACUGAGCAAGAAUAAUUGUCAUUACCAUUUAUAUUACAUUUCGUUGACCAAACUGUAGAAAAUAUUACACGUUGGUGUGAGUACAAGAAUAGAUCGUUCCAUGAACCAUUAUCACAGUCCAGCAACAGCAACAAAUAAUUUGUCUUCUCAUCUACGAGAUGGGGGUAGAAAUGGAUGUCCAAUCGUCCGUUUUUUUAUAUGUAUCCAUCGACGAAUCCUCCAUUAUUUCGCAGUUUAUUAACAAUUUAAAAUUUGGAUCACUAAGAAAUCGCAGUUCGCUGGAACCUAGCCACUCAAAUAUACAAAAAGAAAAGAAAGAACACACAAAAGGCAUCGUAGGUUUAAACCGCUGAAAUAAGGCAUCGUAGCUAGAGACUAUUUCUCCAGGUCGGCUGAUAGGUUCAACCAAAGACUUAUUCAGCUACUGAUACGUACACGUCGCAACAUGCGCUCGGGCAGGCUAUAUAAACCUCACCGUCCCCAUGCCCAAAGCAUCAACAACCAUAGACACAAACACAACAAGCUAAUAAGAAGCUACGUAGCUGAAUAUUCAGAGAGCACAAACACAAACGCGAGUGCAAAACCAAAUGGCUGCCUCGACCUACUUCCUUCUUGUUGCUUUUCUAGCAUUGGUCACUUCUCAUGCCAUUGCUUCUGAUCCUAGCCCGCUCCAAGACUUCUGUGUUGCCGACAAAGACUCUCCGGGUAUGCGUGCUCUCGUCUUGACUUAUCAUGUGUUCUUAUAAUAAAUACCUGAUCAAAUAAGGUUCAUUUAAUUUGUUCAAAUAUCACAUCUACGUACAAUAAGCAUUUCUAGGUAUGCAUGGCCCAAUGGCCUAUUCUCCAUCUAAUUGCUUGCCUUCGUCUAUGCAUACAGUGAAGGUGAAUGGAUUUGUUUGCAAGGAUCCCAUGGCUGUGAACGCUGACGACUUCUUCAAGGCUGCAAAACUUGACCAGCCAAGGGACACCACCAAGAGCAAGGUGGGAUCCAACGUUACUUUGAUCAAUGUCUUGCAGCUACCUGGACUCAACACGUUGGGCAUCUCGUUGGCUCGCAUUGACUAUGAGCCCUUAGGACAGAAUCCUCCACACACACACCCACGUGCCACAGAGAUCCUCACCGUGCUUGAGGGGACACUCUACGUCGGAUUUGUCACCUCCAACCAAGCUGACAGAAGCAACAAGCUAUUUGCCAAGGUUCUCAACAAGGGCGAUGUGUUUGUAUUCCCCCAAGGACUAAUCCACUUCCAGUUCAACCCGG